CGCCCUCGCCGUCACUCCCUUCCCCGGCGACCUCAUGUUCGUCAAGCCCCCGCGCCACCCCGCCGGAAAUUCCUGCUCGCGGCGGUCUUGCCUUCCGCCUUCUUCCGCCAACUCUCCACUUCCCUUCCCCAACCUCCCGCGAGUUUUGUCCCUGAAUCGCGCAAUGGCGCCAUGGCCGCCCAUAUGUCGUUGACCUCCGCCCCGGCGAGCCGCCUAUAGCUGUUGCGGAAGAGUAGGAAAACAACGGCGGGGAGGAGAAAGAGUUCAAGCUCGAUCUUGAAGACUCGAACUCCGCGUCGAGAUCUGACAUCCCAGCAUCCCGCCUUGCUCAACCCCGUCUGCCCCUGCCACUGGAGCGCCAUCCUACUCUUCCACAUCUCGGCGGCAAGCUGGAGCUCCUCGAUCUGGGGGAGGAUGCAAGGGCCGCAACGCCGCGCCACACUUUGUUUUUCCCAGCGCGCGCCAUGGCGCCCAUUGUCCCCGCCUUGCGCUGGCUCCCGAUCGAGAACAGCAGCGCUACAGCCAUGCCCGUGCACGCAAGCAGGCCAGCAGGCUACCUUUUCCUCUCAUGUGUAUCAGAAGAUGGAUGUAACUAUAUUAAUUUCUUUCUCUACUUUGGAUGUAAUUUUUAUCAUUUUCUACAUCUAGAAUUUUUAGUAGAUCAAGGUGUAAAUCACUAAUAUAUUUGUGAUCCUAGUAUUUGUGACUUUGGAUGUAAUUUUAAACAUUUUCUACAUCCAGAACUUUGAAUACAUCAAGGUGUAAAUCACUAAUAUUUCUGUGGUCCCAAUAUUUGUGAC